CCCUUAGAUGUCCGGGGCCGCACGCGCGCUACACUGAAGGAAUCAGCGUGGCUUUCUCCCUGACCCGAAAGGGUUGGGAAACCCGUUGAAUCUCCUUCGUGAUAGGGGUUGGGGCUUGAAAUUGUUCCCCAUGAACGAGGAAUUCCCAGUAAGCGCGAGUCAUAAGCUCGCGUUGAUUACGUCCCUGCCCUUUGUACACACCGCCCGUCGCUACUACCGAUUGAACGGUUUAGUGAGGGCCUCGGAUUGGUCUCGGCCCGCUCUUUACCGGGCGGCGCCGUUGGUCGAGAAGACGCUCGAACUUGAUCGUUUAGAGGAAGUAAAAGUCGUAACA
rnacentral:rRNA from 1 species